GGCGCGGUGGCGGAAUUGGCAGACGCAGCGGACUUAAAAUCCGCCGGUGGAAACACCGUGUGGGUUCGACUCCCACCCGCGCUA
rnacentral:tRNA from 1 species